AACAAGGUGUACAAUCCCUGUGACAUCAAUGAUAUGUUGGCGGACUACUAUGAUGCAUUAUACAAUCUAAAAAAAGACGAACAUACACACCAACCACUUACCUCGGACAUCAGCACUUUUCUAGCAGUAACCCACAUAACACAACUUACACAAGCAGACAGGUCCCUCUUGGAAGAACCCAUUACUCAGAAUGAAAUAACAAACACCAUUAAAGCACUCCCAAAGGGAAAAUCUCCUGGCC